UCGGGUAUCCUUCUUGGCCACCCUGGCCACACUGUGGGGAUACACCACCAUCCCUGUCCUCAUGACCCGGGGAGGAGGUAUGCAGGGAACCACCUUUAGGGGGCACUGCUGUGGGACCGCCUUCCCCAUGCCCAGCGAGCCUCUUCUGCAUCUCUUUCUGCUGUGGCAAAGUGGGUUAAACAGCGCGCGGAUUUGCGAGGAACAUAGCCAACAAAUGAGAUAUCAAACGCAGCUUCCCAUGUAAGAGAUCAGACUCCGGCGGGCACACACGCCGGCGCUCUGCUGGAGCUCCUUGGCUCUGCAGCCAGCUUCAUUUAGGAUUCAUAAAUACUUUUGCGCACUCCCGCACAUACAGCCGCCAAAGGAAUUUCAUUCUGUAUCAUCUGCAUUCAAAUGCAACACAGUGAAAAAAAAAUGUGGACAUUAAAAAGAAGGAGAAGAAGAAGGAAGAGGCUCUGAAGAAAAUCUGAGGCUCGGAGUGGUGGGUUUUGGGUAGCUGAUGACUUGAGGAAGGCUUCCUCUACCUCUGUGUUCCUACAGAGAAGCCUGUCCCUGACUUCAGUUCACCUGUCGCGUGGUGGGUGAAUGCAGCCUAGACCUGCCGGCGUGGGGUAUGCUUUUCAAUGACACUUUUAAAAUAAUGAAUUGGAUGCUUGUCAAGUUCAUUUUCUCCCUCAGCAGCAGGCUUCCUCCAUGCAUUAGGGAACAGAAUGACCAACAACCUGCAUGCCUCCCAUCUCGCAGCUUCCACCCCUAGAGAGAACUGCUUCACACUCUUCUCAUAGCAAGAUGGAAACCCUUGGGGAAGGGCUCUGAAUGCCUCACUGGAGUUUAGAUGCCCACCUCAGAGCCAUCCCAUUCAAUGAUGACAGCUAUGAUAGGGGUGGCCAUGACUGACCUGGCUUUGGAAAGAUACCCACACAUGGAGUAACAACAUGGCAGCCUUUAUUUGAACCACAUGGUUCCUUUUAGGAGGGAAACAUUUCCAAGAAGAAGAGGACACUUCCUAGAAGAAGGGAAGGGUGCUGGCAGAUCAAAUGUCCCUGAAGUUCAUAUAGCCCUUGGCUACAAAUGGCUUCUAUUUGUAUCAUCUCAUUUUAUUUAUUGUAUUUGUCCCUCACAAAACUGUGAGUAAUGUAGGGUAUCUAUAAUUGUUCCCAUUUGACUGGUGGAAUAAAUAAUGUUAAGAGAGACUAAGCAACCAAGGUCACAUAGCUUUGAAAAAUGGCCAAUCCAGUACUCAACUCAUAUCUUUUUUUUUCUUUU
rnacentral:lncRNA from 1 species